rnacentral:rRNA from 1 species
UAACACGUAGACAACCUGCCCGCAAGUGGGGGAUAACAGCGCGAAAGCGCUGCUAAUACCGCAUGUGGUCCCCUCUGGCCUCAGAGGGGUACUAAAGAUUUAUUGCUUGCGGAUGGGUCUGCGGCCUAUCAGGUAGUUGGUGGGGUAACGGCCUACCAAGGCUCCGAUCCUUAGCUGUUCUGAGAGGAAGAUCAGCCACACUGGGACUGAGACACGGCCCAG